rnacentral:rRNA from 1 species
GAUGAACGCUAGCGGCAGGCCUAAUACAUGCAAGUCGAGGGAGAAUGUUGGAUUCGUCUGACAUGAAACCGGCGCACGGGUGCGUAACACGUAUGCAACCUACCUUUAACUGGGGUAUAGCUCAGAGAAAUCUGAAUUAAUCCCCCAUAAGACUACGACAUGGCAUCAUGAUGUAGUUAAAGCUCCGGCGGUUAAGGAUGGGCAUGCGGUACAUUAGCUUGUUGGUGAGGUAAUGGCUCACCAAGGCUACGAUGUAUAGGGGGUCUGAGAGGAUGAGCACCCACACUGGUACUGAGACACGGACCAGACUCCUACGGGAGGCAGCAGUAGGGAAUAUUGGUCAAUGGACGCAAGUCUGAACCAGCCAUGCCGCGUGAAGGAUGAAGGCCCUAUGGGUCGUAAACUUCUUUUAUUAGGGAAGAAAAAACGGGAUGCGUCCUGUACUGACGGUACUUAAUGAAUAAGGAUCGGCUAACUUCGUGCCAGCAGCCGCCGUAA